rnacentral:rRNA from 1 species
GACGAACGCUGGCGGCGCGCCUAACACAUGCAAGUCGAACGGAGUUGUGUUGAAAGCUUGCUGGAUAUACAACUUAGUGGCGGACGGGUGAGUAACACGUGAGCAACCUGCCUUUCAGAGGGGGACGAACAGUUGGAAACGACUGCUAAUACCGCAUAAGCUGUGAGUAUCGCAUGAUACAAAUAGAAAAGGAGCAAUCCGCUGAUAGAUGAGCUUGCGUCUGAUUAGUUAGUUGGUGAGGUAACGGCCCACCAAGACGAUGAUCAGUAGCCGGACUGAGAGGUUGAACGGCCACAUUGGGACUGAGAUACGGCCCAG